rnacentral:rRNA from 1 species
AUUGAACGCUGGCGGCAGGCUUAACACAUGCAAGUCGAACGAGCGGCGGACGGGUGAGUAAUGUAUGGGGAUCUGCCUGAGGGAGGGGGAUAACUACUGGAAACGGUAGCUAAUACCGCAUACCAUCAGAUGCACCCAUAUGGGAUUAGCUUGUAGGUGGUGUAACGGCUCACCUAGGCGACGAUCCCUAGCUGGUCUGAGAGGAUGAUCAGCCACACUGUGACAGAGGCACGGCCCAGACUCCUACGGGAGGCAGCAGUGGGGAAUAUUGGGGAAUGGGGGCAACCCUGAAGCAGCCAUGCCGCGUGAAUGAAGAAGGCCUUGGGGUUGUAAAGUUCUUUCGGUAGCGAGGCGUUAACUACAGAAGAAGCACCGGCUAACUCCGUGCCAGCAGCCGCGGUAAUUC